GACGAACGCUGGCGGCGUGCUUAACACAUGCAAGUCGAACGAAGAGCGAUGGAAGCUUGCUUCUAUCAAUCUUAGUGGCGAACGGGUGAGUAACGCGUAAUCAACCUGCCCUUCAGAGGGGGACAACAGUUGGAAACGACUGCUAAUACCGCAUACGAUCUAAUCUCGGCAUCGAGGAUAGAUGAAAGGUGGCCUCUACAUGUAAGCUAUCACUGAAGGAGGGGAUUGCGUCUGAUUAGCUAGUUGGAGGGGUAACGGCCCACCAAGGCGAUGAUCAGUAGCCGGGCUGAGAGGAUGAACGGCCACAUUGGGACUGAGACACGGCCCAGACUCCUACGGGAGGCAGCAGUGGGGAAUCUUCCGAAAUGGACGAAAGUCUGACGGAGCAACGCCGCGGGAGUGAUGACGGCCUUCGGGUUGUAAAGCUCUGUUAAUCGGGACGAAAGGCCUUCUUGCGAAUAGUGAGAAGGAUUGACGGUACCGGAAGAGAAGGCCACGGCUAACUACGUG
rnacentral:rRNA from 1 species